AUGAAUAACCAGGAGGCUUUGACCCAUUGGGACCUGUGGCAAGGGUUCAUACAUCAUGGUGUUCCUGACAGAAGAGAAAUGAUCAUUUCACUUGUCCACUACAUUGAUGCCAUUGUGCCAACUGGAUCUGAUGUGCAGGAAGGAGAGAGGACCCUACUUGCCCCAGUAAGAUCAUCAGCAUUGCACAGCUGUCUCAGACACUGGGGGCCUGAGAAGGUGAUGACAGCAACCAUCUGCCUCACGUACACACAUCAUCUCACAUAUGACUUACAGCACCAUGUCCAAACCUUGCUAUGGCUGAAUGGCUUCCCCGACCCUCCACCCUCAAAUUCAGUGCUGAAGUUCUAA
rnacentral:lncRNA from 13 species